rnacentral:rRNA from 1 species
CUACGGGAUGCUGCAGUGGGGAAUAUUGCACAAUGGGCGCAAGCCUGAUGCAGCCAUGCCGCGUGUAUGAAGAAGGCCUUCGGGUUGUAAAGUACUUUCAGCGGGGAGGAAGGGAGUAAAGUUAAUACCAUUGCUCAUUGACGUUACCCGCAGAAGAAGCACCGGCUAACGCCGUGCCAGCAGCCGCGGUAAUACGGAGGGUGCAAGCGUUAAUCGGAAUUACUGGGCGUAAAGCGCACGCAGGCGGGUUGUUAAGUCAGAUGUGAAAUCCCCGGGCUCAACCUGGGAACUGCAUCUGAUACUGGCAAGCUUGAGUCUCGUAGAGGGGGGUAGAAUUCCAGGUGUAGCGGUGAAAUGCGUAGAGAUCUGGAGGAAUACCGGUGGCGAAGGCGGCCCCCUGGACGAAGACUGACGCUCAGGUGCGAAAGCGUGGGGAGCAAACAGGAUUAGAUACCCGAGUAGUC